rnacentral:rRNA from 1 species
GNUGGAUUAGUGGCGAACGGGUGAGUAACACGUGAGUAACCUGCCCUUGACUCUGGGAUAAGCACUGGAAACGGUGUCUAAUACCGGAUAUAUCAGCUGGCCGCAUGGUCUGGUUGUGGAAAGAAUUUUGGUCAAGGAUGGACUCGCGGCCUAUCAGGUAGUUGGUGAGGUAAUGGCUCACCAAGCCUACGACGGGUAGCCGGCCUGAGAGGGUGACCGGCCACACUGGGACUGAGACACGGCCCAGACUCCUACGGGAGGCAGCAGUGGGGAAUAUUGCACAAUGGGCGAAAGCCUGAUGCAGCAACGCCGCGUGAGGGAUGACGGCCUUCGGGUUGUAAACCUCUUUUAGUAGGGAAGAAGCGAAAGUGACGGUACCUGCAGAAAAAGCACCGGCUAACUACGUGCCAGCAGCCGCGGUAAUACGUAGGGUGCAAGCGUUGUCCGGAAUUAUUGGGCGUAAAGAGCUCGUAGGCGGUUUGUCGCGUCUGCUGUGAAAACUGGAGGCUCAACCUCCAGCCUGCAGUGGGUACGGGCAGACUAGAGUGCGGUAGGGGAGAUUGGAAUUCCUGGUGUAGCGGUGGAAUGCGCAGAUAUCAGGAGGAACACCGAUGGCGAAGGCAGAUCUCUGGGCCGUAACUGACGCUGAGGAGCGAAAGCAUGGGGAGCGAACAGGAUUAGAUACCCUGGUAGUCCAUGCCGUAAACGUUGGGAACUAGAUGUGGGGGCCAUUCCACGGUCUCCGUGUCGCAGCUAACGCAUUAAGUUCCCCGCCUGGGGAGUACGGCCGCAAGGCUAAAACUCAAAGGAAUUGACGGGGGCCCGCACAAGCGGCGGAGCAUGCGGAUUAAUUCGAUGCAACGCGAAGAACCUUACCAAGGCUUGACAUAUACGAGAACGGGCCAGAAAUGGUCAACUCUUUGGACACUCGUAAACAGGUGGUGCAUGGUUGUCGUCAGCUCGUGUCGUGAGAUGUUGGGUUAAGUCCCGCAACGAGCGCAACCCUCGUUCUAUGUUGCCAGCACGUUAUGGUGGGAACUCAUAGGARACUGCCGGGGUCAAYUCGGAGRAAGGUGGGGAUGACGUCAAUCAUCAUGCCCCUUAUGUCUUGGGCUUCAGCAUGCUACAUGGCCGGUACAAGGGCUGCAAUACCGUAAGGUG